rnacentral:rRNA from 1 species
GACGAACGCUGGCGGCGUGCUUAACACAUGCAAGUCGAACGGAGUGGCGAACGGGUGAGUAACACGUGGGUGACCUGCCCUUCACUUCGGGAUAAGCCUGUGAAACUGGGUCUAAUACCGGAUAGUUUGGGAUGGGCCCGCGGCCUAUCAGCUUGUUGGUGGGGUAAUGGCCUACCAAGGAGGCGACGGGUAGCCGGUCUGAGAGGGUGGACGGCCACAUGCGGCCUGAGACACGGCCCAGACGCAGACGGGAGGAAGCGGUGGGGAAUAGUGCACAAUGGGCGGAAGCCUGAUGCAGCGACGCCGCGUGGGGGAUGACGGCCUUCGGGUUGGAAACUCCUUUCACCAUCGACGCGGUAGAUGGAGAAGAAGCACCGGCUAACUACGUGCCAGCAGCCGCGGUAAUUC